GGCGGCAUGGCUCAGGAGGUAAAGCGGCUAGGCUAAAUCGGGAGGUCCCUGGUUCGAUCCCCAGUUCCUCCA